rnacentral:lncRNA from 1 species
CUUGAACCAUUUUGAAGAGGCAAGAGAAACCCAAAACCUUUCUCUAUUACUGAGCUUUGAAGAGGCACAGACUGUAUUUGGAAUCGAGAGAUUGAGGCGAAGCAAAGGUUAGUGUUUCGUUACAAAUCGACUGGAUAUUCUAAUAUUUUAGGUUUAAGUUUAUGAAAUUUGGUGUUUAACUUGAUUUUCAUAGCAAUAUUUAGGGUUUUGAAAUCCUAAAUUUUGAAAUUCAAAAUUGAAUCUAGUAUUUGGGUUAUUUGAGUUCAAAAGAGAGAAAAACUUAUAAUGGAGUGAAAUAAGGUUAGUCAAAUGUAUUAAAAAUGGAUUUCUUGAUCUUAAGAUAGGUUAUUUGUCUGCUCGUAUAAAAAUAAUGAAAAAAAUAAAGACGAUAAUCAAAUUCAAAUAUCUUUAUAAAACAUAUUACUUCAUGGGUUAGGUUGAAAAUUCAAAGACACCGUUUAUAGUUCUUAAAAGCCAAAGACGCUAUCUCCAUCUUCAAGUAAACUGAUUUAACAUCUUUUCAUUAUUGGUAUGUUCUCAUAAAAACUUUUUGUUAUGAGCAUAACAUGAAGUCACAUGAAUAUAUAUUAAGUCAUUACUCUUGGUCUAAUCCAGUCAAAUAAAUAUUUAUGAUACUCAAAGUUUAACAAAUACAAGUACAGAAAUCUAUGAAUAUGUGUUAUAGAGUCAUGAAAUGAACACCAUAUUCACAUACAUGUUUGGAUAAGUUGGAGUUGAGAGUGAUUGAUGUUUUGCUUAGUGGGCUUCUCAUAAAUGAGGAUUUAAUUUUUAUGUUUCUAUGAUGUGUUAACUGUUCUUAUCAUGAGUUGCUAAGAUGAUGUCUCUAUAUUUGACAUCUCUAGUAAUUGUUGAUUAUUUCUAACUUGCUUGAUUUUACUAAUAAAACCAUCUUUUGCUAAAAAAAAAUACAAAAUAGCUAAUACUAUGCUUUCUAACCUUUUUCUUUCUUUCUUGUAAAAUGUUAAGAGCAUAUAAAAAAAUUAAAAGAAAAAGAGUUGCAUUAAGAGAACUUUGUAUUUUAUUUUCUGAUUUGAUCAUGUCAUUACCAUGCCUUAUACUUCACAUUAUCACAAAUAUGUUUACUCAUCUAUUUUGCUUUGUUUUUUCCAAGCAGAUUGACAUGUGUAAUGGCAACAACAAUUACAAGAUGUAAAGUUCCGAAUUGAUUAUUAUUGAUAUAAUCAUUUUGAUAUUUAUCUUUUUGUGACAAAUUUAAUAUAAAUAUAUUAGAUUCUAUAUAUUUUUAAUACAUUUGUAAUAUUUUAAAUUGCAUUGCCAAAAAUUAUACCAAAGUGAUAGUUAACCAAUAUGCUUGUAUCUUAUUGUCAACCGUUGUCACAAUAGCGAGAAGUUCGUAUACCAUAAACCAUAUUGUCAACCAAUGUGGUGCACAAAAAAAAAAGCAUAAUGUCAAUCAUAGUCAUUAUAGCAAAAGGUUUCCAUGAAAAAAAAUAAAAUAUGACAUGUCAUUUAGCAAAAGUGCCACUUCUUUAGUUGUUUCUGUGUAAUUGAUUCUUGGGUGCUAAAAUGGUCUUUAAUUUGUUUGCGUUUUUUGUUCAGGGAGUUAAUUUUCACCAGAGAGCUCAUAGUAGAUGUCCUACUGGAUUCAAGUGCCCUAACAAUUUGUGAGUUGUUAUUCCUCUGUAGCAAGCAAAUGAAACAACUUAGGGUCUGUUUGAUUGACGGAAUUGAUUUUCCGGAAAAUUAUUUUCAACUUUUCCAGCGUUUGAUUGGCGGAAAACAUUUUUCAUUUGGAAAAUGAACUCCAAAACAAGGGAAAAUGGGUUAUAUUUUAGGGAAAAUGUCUUACCCUUUCAAUUUCCGUAAGACAUUUUCCGUGCUCUCCUCUCUAUCGCCUCCUUCAUUCCUUCCUUCAUUUUCGGUAGAAAACUGCUUCUGUUUAUUGAUUUUCC